CAGAAGAUAGUUUUAAUAAGAAUGCUGGCUUUGGGCGUCGGUGGUGGGAGUUUAAAUCUCUCUUUUCUGG
rnacentral:tRNA from 1 species